rnacentral:rRNA from 1 species
GGGGGACAACGUUUCGAAAGGAACGCUAAUACCGCAUACGUCCUACGGGAGAAAGCAGGGGACCUUCGGGCCUUGCGCUAUCAGAUGAGCCUAGGUCGGAUUAGCUAGUUGGUGAGGUAAUGGCUCACCAAGGCGACGAUCCGUAAACUGGUCUGAGAGGAUGAUCAGUCACACUGGAACUGAGACACGGUCCAGACUCCUACGGGAGGCAGCAGUGGGGAAUAUUGGACAAUGGGCGAAAGCCUGAUCCAGCCAUGCCGCGUGUGUGAAGAAGGUCUUCGGAUUGUAAAGCACUUUAAGUUGGGAGGAAGGGCAGUAACYUAAUACGUUGCUGUCUUGACGUUACCGACAGAAUAAGC